rnacentral:rRNA from 6 species
CCUGGUGGUUAUAUCGAAGGGGCAACACCCGUUCCCAUUCCGAACACGGCAGUUAAGCCCUUCGGAGCUGAUGGUACUGCACAGUUUCCUGUUGCGGGAGAGUAGGACGCUGCCAGGU